AUGGCUGUCGUCAGCUCGUGCCGUGAGGUGUUCGGUUAAGUCCGGCAACGAGCGCAACCCGUGUCAUUAGUUGCCAACAGGUAAUGCUGGGGACUCUAGUGAGACUGCCCGUGUCAAGCGGGAGGAAGGCGCGGAUGACGUCAAGUCAGUAUGGCUCUUACAUCCAGGGCUGCACACGUGCUACAAUGGCUGGUACAGAGGGACGCAAUACCGCGAGGUGGAGCAAAUCCGGAAAACCAGCCCCAGUUCGGAUUGUAGUCUGCAACUCGACUACAUGAAGCCGGAAUCGCUAGUAAAGGCGUAUCAGCUACGACGCCUUGAAUACGUUCCCGGGCCUUGUACACACCGCCCGUCACAUCAUGGAAGCCUGCUGCACCCGAAGUCGUUGACCCAACCUGCAAAGGAGGGAGGCGCCGAAGGUGUGGCCGGUAACUAGGAUGAAGUCGUAACAAGGUAGCCGUAGGGGAACCUGCGGCUGGAUCACCUCCUUUUUAAGGAGUAAUUCAUCAGCGUUAAACCAACACUGGUGAAUACGGUCAAGCCCCAAUCGAUUGUAUCGCGCUUGGUAAAUCGCUAAGCAAGAUUCAAUCAUAUCAUUGGGUGUGGUUGAUGGUAACAUCAGCAAGUUAUAUAUCGUACGUUUCAAAUGUCAGGGACAAAUCCCUGGCGGAAUAGGAGCCGGGGCUAACGCGCCUAGGUAACCUGGCCGAACCCCUCUGGGGCUGUAGCUCAGUUGGCUAGAGCACCUGCUUUGCAAGCAGGCUGUCAGGGGUUCGAGUCCCCUCAGCUCCACCACUUGAGAAGGUAGAAGCCUGAAGGUAGAAGGCUGAAUGAAAUUUUCUCCUUCAUCCUUCCCCUUCCAACGGGCGUAUAGCUCAGUUGGUUAGAGCGCAUCCCUGAUAAGGAUGAGGCCCCUGGUUCGAGUCCAGGUACGCCCACCAUUCCGCCAUAUGAUUUUUUUCCGUGAGUCUAUCUCGCGGUGUGUUCUUUGAUAAGUAUACCAAUAGAAUAGAUUUCCAAUGCUGCAAUUUUAUAAAUUGCAAGCGAAAAUAAUCUCGCCACCGAAUUUUGUUUCACAACAUUUUUUGGUGGUCAAGCUACAAAGGGCACAUGAUGGAUGCCUUGGCACUGGAAGGCGAUGAAGGACGUGAUAAGCUGCGAUAUGCGUCGGGGAGUGGCAAAUACACUUUGAUCCGGCGAUUUCCGAAUGGGGAAACCCGG
rnacentral:sRNA from 1 species